rnacentral:rRNA from 1 species
AGUGAACGCUGGCGGUAGGCCUAACACAUGCAAGUCGAACGGCAGCACAGUAAGAGCUUGCUCUUACGGGUGGCGAGUGGCGGACGGGUGAGGAAUACAUCGGAAUCUACUUUUUCGUGGGGGAUAACGUAGGGAAACUUACGCUAAUACCGCAUACGACCUACGGGUGAAAGCAGGGGAUCUUCGUACCUUGCGCGAUUGAAUGAGCCGAUGUCGGAUUAGCUAGUUGGCGGGGUAAAGGCCCACCAAGGCGACGAUCCGUAGCUGGUCUGAGAGGAUGAUCAGCCACACUGGAACUGAGACACGGUCCAGACUCCUAAGGGAGGCAGCAGUGGGGAAUAUUGGACAAUGGGCGCAAGCCUGAUCCAGCCAUACCGCGUGGGUGAAGAAGGCCUUCGGGUUGUAAAGCCCUUUUGUUGGGAAAGAAAAGCAGCAGGUUAAUACCCCGCUGUUCUGACGGUACCCAAAGAAUAAGCACCGGCUAACUUCGUG